rnacentral:rRNA from 1 species
UAAUACAGAGACCUCGAGCGUUAUCCGGAAUCAUUGGGCGUAAAGCGUACCGAUAGGUGGUUUUGAAAGUCAGAGGUGAAAUUACAAAGCUCAACUUUGUAACUGUCCUUUGAAACUUCAAGACUAGAGGGGCAAAGAGGAAGCUGGAACAAACGGUGUAGUAGUGAAAUGCGUUGAUAUCGUUUGGAACACCAAUAGCGUAGGCAGGCUUCUGGGUGCCACCUGACACUGCUAGGACGAAAGCGUGGGUAGCGAAUGGGAUUAGAUACCCCAGUAGUCCACGCUGUAAACGAUGAUAAUUAGGUGCUAGAGAGUAUCGACCCUCAUUAGUACCGUAGCUAACGCGUUAAAUUAUCCGCCUGGGGAGUACGGCCGCAAGGCU